rnacentral:tRNA from 1 species
GGGGCUGUAACUCAGUUGGCUAGAGUGCCGCCAUGGCAUGGCGGAAGUCGAGGGUUCAAAUCCCUUCAGCUCCA